UCAGGGGGUUGUAGUAUGCUUAAAAGUUUCAACGCUUAGAAAUUGUACAGUCUGUCAACAGUGGUUCAUGGGAGGCAGGGGGAGGAAGAAAACAGAGAAAACCUGUCUCUCCAACUUCCUUUGGACAAGUGCGUGCCCCACGGAGGGCAUUCCAGUCACGUGUGGGCUGUUGAUAGCUUGGAAAAUAAAAUUGCUUAGCUCACGUAAGCAACAGAACCGUGCGAAAUACCCAACUAAAAGCUGUAGCAGAGCUAGCUGCGUGUUUGAUUAGUCCCUUUUCCCCCCGUGUUUAUUUUGCCUGUCCUGCCGUGAGUCUAAAAUUCAUCCACAUCAGGGGAUUUACGCUGAUACUGGAACCUCUGCAGCUUGAAUUCUGUCACUGUACUGUGCAGAGGGGAAGAUAAUUUGCAAAGACCAUCAUAGUUCAUAGAAAUAAAACAAGAGGCUUCUGUAAAUGUGUGAACCUGAUCUGGCUGUGCUACGGUCUCUUCUGCUUGGAGAUGAUAAUGAUGUUUGCUAAGGGAGUUAAGGGAUGAUGGAAACUCUAGCAGCAGAUAAAGCGUUUCUAUUUCUGGCACCUUAGGGAUCGAGUAUCAAUUCGCCACAACAGACGGAGCCAAAGCCCUUGAAGGGCUGUUGCUGAAAUAACUUUGAGACCUGUCAUCUGCCAAGAGAUGCUGUUCACCCGCCGGCACGAAGGCCGUUCAGGUUGAUGGCGUGAGAUCCUGCCAAACGUCCGUCACGGCUGCGGCUUCAGUAAAAGCUGAUGGGGAAACAAGGUAGGUCAACAGGGAUCUGCACGGGAAGGUUUGUGGAAAGAAGUUUCUCUCUCGUAAUGUUUGUAGGGAAAAACUGCGGAGUGGAGAAAGUGCGAUUUAUCGUUUAGCUUGUCUGUUCUUACCGUGUUAACAGGUUGGUUUGAAUUGUUUAGAAUUUUGCCCAAAUUGAACUUUUUAGUAAAAAAAAAUACAGGUGUGUUUUGUAUGUCUAAUAUAAAAUAUAUUUUAAUUAUAUUUAAUAUAAAAAUAUAUAAAAGCUCAACUAAAUAGGCUAACUGUUUCUGUACCUGAGAUUAGGGCAGGGAGGAUUGUUUGUCUUCUGUUGAGAAAUGAAAUCCUAUAAUUGGUUCAUUGAAAAGCCCAUGAACAUGAUACCGAGUCAUCCUGAGCUGCUGAUUAGUGUGUGAGAAUCAUGGCAGAAGUAAAGCCAAUUAACAUACCUCCCAGAUGCCAGCUGGGCUUACGUGCAUCUUUACUUUUUGACCUUAAACAUACUUCUGCUAGGAAUACUUUUUUUUUUUUAGUAUCUAACCUAUUACUAAUUUAGUUCAGACUUACGAGUACAAGAAGCAAAUAAAAAACAAAGCAAGAAAAUGCCAAAAAGCGACCCACCCCAACCAACCAAAAUAAAACAUAAAAAAAUCCCCAAAACAAACCAAACGGUUAAUAGAGCUAAUGGAUAUAUAUUAAAAAAAAAAAAAAAAAUCAGUUGUGCUAAGAAUGAAUCUUGAACUUGUUCCAGUAUUGGGUAGGAGAGAAAUAUUAUUAACUACGCCCUAUUAGGACAGCUGUUUAUUUUUAUUAGACACUGGAGAGUCUACUCGUUUUCUGCUGUGUCAUUUUUUAGCAUUUGAUAACGCACAAGCAUCUCAAGGUUUUCUCACAAUUAUCACAUUCAUGUCCCUCUCCCUAUAGUUUCUGUGAUAUCCAGUAUUAAUUGUUCUGGACAGCACAUGGAAGCAAUAAGAAAUCUUUAGUUUUCACAAAACUGAGAUUUUUACCGUUUUGUAAGAAUUGGCUGAAGGUUGUCAAUUAACUUAAAACUUUUUGAGAGAAUUCUUUCUUACUCAGUAAUUUAGGCGUCCCUUGCAGGACACUGGGAGAAAGGCACAGACAGCUCAAGUGUGUCCUUUGGACUGAUUCUGUGUAGCGCUGUACCAUGUCAUCUGAGCAUGUAAUAUCGGUCUCAUGCCUCCAAACAAGAAUUCUCCAUCCAUCCAGGAAAGUGCUAGCUCAUCUGCAGAGAAAGCAAAGUUCCUGGAAGCUGCCUGCCAGACGCUACGGAGGUGUGCGGAGUAAAAGAAAUGAAAUGAACAAUUUCUACACGCCGGCUCUGCAAGCUGAAGCUGAAGGGAAUUCUUUCGGGCAGCUAACACUAAAAAUCACGCGACGCUACACGAGACAGGUCUGCCCAGCAAAAGGAAGGUAGCGCAGGGGUGCACGUGUGCGCUGAAGCAAUAGCACUGAAGACAUCGCCAGGCUUCAAGCCUCUCCGGUGUCAAGAGAACCUAUGGAGAGUGUACGGCGUAGCGUGCACCUGGCCCAAACUCUACAGGAGAAGAGAGGCGAGAAGAAACAUCUGGACCAGCAAUCGUCAUGUCACCUCAUUCCUGGAUUGUGUUUUUCAUAAGACAAAUACUGGAAGACAAUCCGUUUGCAUUUACAAUUUCUGGUUUUGUCAACAGAACUGUUCUUUAUGCGGGUUCUCUACAGUAAUAAGUCUUAACUGCAGAAUACCAAAUUCUACCGAUGAAGAGAGUUUCCUGUGAUUCUGUUGUAAAUUGAAGUAUUUGAGACUAAAUAUACACAAAGGACGGACUGGGGAUGUGAGGGAUUUCAACAUUGCCUUCAUCUACUUUGUCUUAGUUGUGCUCUUCAUCCCAACUGAAGCCUGAAAGACACUUCAUGUCCUCUUAUUUGUGUACUUAAUGCAGAAAUAGAAGUUCUACAUUCCUACAAAAUAAGGUUUGAAAAGCACACUAAAAAUAAUUCAACCAAAGACAAUCUAUGUAUGUGUAGUUCAUUGUAGUUUUG